GAGGUGUAAAAUAGCUAGCUUAGA
rnacentral:siRNA from 1 species